UCGGUUCUUCCGAGUGAAGACACUGAAAAAUAGCAUCGAUCAUUAGCCAGAACUUUAUUCAUUUGUGAAAUUUUAUUUUUCUCCUAAAAUUGAGGCGAAAAUGUCGGAAAAAAAGACAAAACAAAGUAAUGGCUGAGGAUAAUUGGUGAAUUUAAUGACUUUUUUCGUCAUUUCUGAGACAGAAAAAUUGAACAAAACAAUGUGAGCGAUACGCCGCAAACCACGUGGACAACGUUUGCAAUGUCGCAUACAUAAGAUUCAUACCGCAUCAAUGGCAUUCUGAAGUGACAAAUUGAUGAGCACAUCGGGCUGCGUGUCGAGAUGCCGUGCCAGAAGAAAGGAAACCAAGAGAGAAACUCGGCGAGUACCUGCUGAAAAACGAAUGGCGACGGAGAAAUACCAGCCCGCUUUGCUUAUUCUAAUCAUUGAAUGAACCGAGUCGAAUGUUGAAACGAAAAGAAUUUUUUUUUCUAAUUUCGAACAAUUGUCCAACUAUUGGAUUAUCAAUGUCAAUGAGUUCAAAAGGAUUUUAUUAGAAAUAAAUGCAAUUUUAUAAUUAAA